GACGAACGCUGGCGGCGUGCUUAACACAUGCAAGUCGAACGGAAAGGCCCUGCUUUUGUGGGGUGCUCGAGUGGCGAACGGGUGAGUAACACGUGAGUAACCUGCCCUUGACUUUGGGAUAACUUCAGGAAACUGGGGCCAAUACCGGAUAGGAGCUCCUGCUGCAUGGUGGGGGUUGGAAAGUUUCGGCGGUUGGGGAUGGACUCGCGGCUUAUCAGCUUGUUGGUGGGGUAGUGGCUUACCAAGGCUUUGACGGGUAGCCGGCCUGAGAGGGUGACCGGCCACAUUGGGACUGAGAUACGGCCCAGACUCCUACGGGAGGCAGCAGUGGGGAAUAUUGCACAAUGGGCGGAAGCCUGAUGCAGCAACGCCGCGUGCGGGAUGACGGCCUUCGGGUUGUAAACCGCUUUCGCCUGUGACGAAGCGUGAGUGACGGUAAUGGGUAAAGAAGCACCGGCUAACUACGUG
rnacentral:rRNA from 1 species